rnacentral:rRNA from 1 species
GAUGAACGCUGGCGGCAUGCCUAAUACAUGCAAGUCGAACGAGAGGAAGGAAAGCUUGCUUUUCUGAAUCUAGUGGCGAACGGGUGAGUAACACGUAGGUAACCUGCCCAUGUGCCCGGGAUAACUUCUGGAAACGGAUGCUAAAACCGGAUAGGUAGCAGACAAGCAUUUGACUGCUAUUAAAGUGGCUAAGGCCAUGAACAUGGAUGGACCUGCGGUGCAUUAGCUAGUUGGUGAGGAAACGGCCCACCAAGGCGACGAUGCAUAGCCGGCCUGGGAGGGCGGACGGCCACAUUGGGACUGAGACACGGCCCAAACUCCUACGGGAGGCAGCAGUAGGGAACUUUUGUCAAUGGGGGGAACCCUGAACGAGCAAUGCCGCGUGUGUGAGGAAGGUCUUCGGAUCGUAAAGCUCUGUUGUAAGAGAAAAACGACAUUCAUAGGGAAUGAUGAGUGAGUGAUGGUAUCUUACCAGAAAGUCACGGCUAACUACGUGCCAGCCGCCGCCGUAA